rnacentral:lncRNA from 1 species
AUUGGGAUGAGAGAACUCGAUGCGUUGAGAAGCAGCAAGUACUGAUGAAAGCAACCUAUGUGUUGCUUGUUCCAAAAGAUCAGAAUACAUAUCUUAUAUUGUAGUACUAAUCUUGACCCCAAUAUUUGGGGGCAAAAAUGACAAAUCCGACCUCUCUCCGAAAGUUGAGGCAAAACGAUGUGUAAAAAUCUAAAAUUACAAUCAAAACCAUACUGGUUGUCUUCCUUCGAUUGUUUGCCGCCCGUCGGAGCUUGAAAGUUGAAUUGAACUGGCAGUAUGGGAAAGUAAAACCUGCAACCGCAUGGAUUAAGGUUGGGAGCAAUUUCAGGGAGGGGUCUCAUUUCGUUAGCUGAGAGACUUAUCUCUGUCUCAGUGCCUUGGUUAGCUAUUCUCAAACAUGUUGUUUUAAUAUCUUAUAUUGUGAAAUGGUUCCUUCAGUUUUUCUUUGCAAACAGUAUUUUGUUUUUGUUACAACUGUAAUUGGAACCACAGGUGUCAGUGAAGGUAGAUAUUGGCUUUGCAAAAGAGGCUCCUGUUUUGGGAAUUUUCGGGAUUAAUGUCUACCAUAAAAAUCGACUAAUCAUGGUAAGAACUUUUCAGUUCUGAGUUAUUCGCUCAUUUUCCUUUGUCAUCGGUAUGUAUUUAUUAUGUGUCAUGUUCGUUAAGAUCACAUCUCAGCACUUCCAACAUAUGUUGCAGUAUUUCCCCAUAUGCAAUAUGGUGACAAGGCAACCAGGAAUUUUCAUAUGUUGAUAUAUGUAUAUGGGUGUAGACAUGGAAGAUACAUUAUAUAUAUAACAGUAGAAGAUGAGAUGGGGUACUUGUAGCUGCUAUUUUUGAAAUCCUUAUGGAAAUCACCAAAUGGAAGAUAUGUAGUGUUCUUAAUUUUUCAUGGACAUAUCAGGUCAUGACAGUAAUAGUCAGCGACACAUAUUUUGAGGGUGACUCUGGUAACCAUGGUCUACAGUCUACACAACUCUAGUCAGUGUAAUCCACAAUUUGUUUUGUAGCCCAUCUUCAGGAGUAAUUGGACGCAUCCUAGUGUUACACCGUAAUACCAGUGCUUCUUUUCUUGAACCUUUCUCUUGAAAUAUUGAUGAUCUCCUGUUAUGACCGGUACAACGUACCAACGGAGGAGGCCCAAUGGGCAGGGUUAGUUACGGGCUUAGCCCAAGUUAUCUUAGCUAUCUUAGAGUCCAAGUUAUAUUAGAGUCCAAGUUAUCUAGGGUUUAGUGGAGGCUGUCCUCCUAUAUAAACACACGUACCCCUUCGAAUUAAGCAGACAAUAAACAGUAUUCUAUUGUCGUCUCCCUCAGGAGACGGGAGCCCCAAACCCUAGCCGCCUCUCUCUCUCUCUCUCACGCCGCGACGGCGCCCAACCGCCGGCGCCGGCGUCCCCAACCUCGCAGCCCGCACUUCUACCCCUACAACCUACGUCCGAGACCUGGUAGAACCCUAGCCUCUACCAAUUUUGUAUCAGGUAGCUUGGGUUCGAUGAGUUUGUCGGACCUUCCCACCACCACCGCCGCCGCCACCACCGCCUUCCCCGCCACCUCGCAGCAGCCGCCGCCGUCGGCCACCUCAGGUCCGGCCGCCUCAGGUACCGCGGCCCUGGCGGCCGAAGCCGCCCCCGUCCUCUCCCCGGCGGAGAUGUCCUCGGCGAUCCGCGACCUCACCCUGGCGGUCUCGAACCUUCGGACUUUCCUCCAGGCUCCGUAUGCAACCCCGCCACCGCCCCCGGCCACCGUCACGCCCCAAGGCCUGCCGAUCACCCAGGUCCGGUGGCCGCCGUCGCCGUCCCCGCUACCGACGUGGAUCGACACGCCGACCUACACGACGGCGACGCUACAGCCGACGGUGUUGCAGCCACCCGCCCCCACCUUCGGGGGGUUCGGCGGGUACACUGACCCGUACGCCGGGAGCUCCGUGGUGCCGCAACACUCUCCUUCCGCCGCGCUGGGUCGUCACGAGGGCGCCUACGCGGCCUCGCCACACGUGCAGCAGCCGCCCCGCUUCACCAAGCUGGAGUUCGCCACCUACGACGGCACUGUUGACCCCCUGAACUGGCUCAAUCAGUGCGACCAGUUUUUCAGGGGGCAGCGGACCAUGGCGUCUGCGCACGUGGAUCGCCUCGUACCACCUCUGCCUCGAGCAGGACCAGAGCGGGAUGCCUUCGUGGGAGCGCUUACGCGACCUGUGUCUCCUUCGGUUCGGCCCCCCAUACGUGGGAGCCGCCUGGCCGAGCUCGGUCACCUUCCCUUCACCACCUCGGUGCAGGACUUCGCCGAUCGAUUCCAGACGUUGGCCUGCCAUGCGCCUGACGCCAUGGCUCGCCAACGCGCUGAGCUCUUCGUCGGCGACCUUCCCGACCACAUCCGCAUCGACGUCGAGAUGCGCGACCGCCAGGACCUGCAGACGGGCAUGUAUUACGCACGCGCGGACGAGCAGCGCGCCAACACCCUGCAGCAGGCGUUCCCGGGCUGCGGCACGCGUCCCCCGCCCUGCCCCGGCGGCCGCCACCCCGACACGCCCCGCCCUGCCGGCCAUUACUGCGGCUGCCCCCGCGCCGACACGCACCUUCCGGCGCUUGACGUCGGCCGAGCAGCUCGAGCGGCGCCGCAAGGGCCUGUGCUUCAACUGUGACGAGCCGUAUGCGCCGGGUCAUACGUGCGCCCGCCUGUUCUACUUGGAGACCGUCGACGACGCGGAGGUGGAGGCCCCCACCGCGGAGCUCGACGCCACCACUCUCCGAGGCCGGCGUCACGACCUACAGGCCGGUCAACGCGACUGCCUUCGUCGUCUCCCAUCAUGCCAUGGCUGGCAUCAAGACGACAAAGACGAUGCUGCUUCCGGUGACGAUCAACGGGGAGCGUCUCACCGCGCUCGUGGACACGGGUUCGACGCACAACUUCCUGUCUGGGGACGCCAUGCGCCGCCUCGCACUCCAAUCGGCGGGCUCGGAGAAGUUCAGCGUCACCGUCGCCAACGGGGACUGCCUUGCUUGCCAGGGGGUGGCGCGGCAGGUUCCCGUCCUCAUCGGAGACGAGCCGUUCUCCAUCGACUGCGUCGGCAUCGACCUGGGCUGCUACGACUUCAUCCUCGGCAUCGACUUCCUGUCCACUCUCGGCCCCAUCCUUUGGGACCUCGAUGUGUUGUCCCUCAUCUUCUGGCGCGAGGGCGGCCAUCGCGUUCAAUGGACAGGCAUCGGCGGCUCCGGUGCCGCGACUCCGCAGCUCCAGUUGAUGGCGGCCGCACUGGAUGAGGCGCAUCCCCUCCUGGCUGACCUCCUGCAGCAGCACAGCGACAUCUUCGACGAGCCACAGGGCCUCCCUCCCGCGCGGCCCUGUGACCACUGCAUCCACCUGCUGCCGGACACGGCACCUGUCGUCGUGCGCCCGUACCGGUACCCUCAGCUGCAGAAAGACGAGCUCGAGCGUCAGGUGGCGGUCAUGCUCGCGCAGGGUAUCAUCCGGAUUUCGACAUCGCCGUUCUCCGCCUCGGUGCUCCUUGUGCGCAAGCCCGACGGCACAUGGCGCUUCUGCAUCGACUACCGCGCCCUCAACGCCCUGACGUCCAAGGACAAGUUCCCCAUCCCCGUUGUGGAUGAGCUCUUGGACGAGCUACACGGAGCGUGCUUCUUCACCAAGCUCGACAUUCGCUCGGGCUACCAUGAGGUGCGCAUGCACCCUGACGACAUCGAGAAGACGGCGUUCCGCACUCACCAUGGCCACUUCGAGUUCCUGGUGAUGCCGUUCGGCCUCUCCAACGCGCCGGCGACCUUCCAGGCCCUGAUGAAUGACGUGCUCAGCCCAUACUUGCGUCGCUUUGUGCUUGCUUUCUUUGAUGACAUUCUUAUCUACAACGCAUCUUGCGUGGAGCACCUACAGCACGUGGCCAUCAUCUUCAACGAGCUUCGAGCGCAUCGUCUUCACCUCAAGCGCUCGAAGUGCUCGUUCGGCACGACCUCCGUCGCAUACCUGGGCACGUCAUCUCGGCGGAAGGGGUAGCGAUGGACGCGGACAAGGUCGCCGCCAUCGCCGCGUGGCCGACCCCACGGUCACCGCGGGCGCUCCGCGGUUUCUUGGGCCUCGCCGGCUACUACCGGAAGUACAUCCGGGACUUUGGCCUCAUCGCCGCGCCAUUGACGCGUCUCCUUCGACGCGACGCCUUCUCCUGGGACGAGGAGGCGACUACGGCAUUCGUGGCUCUCCAGCGGGCGCUCACGACGGGACCCGUCCUUCAGAUGCCGGGCUUUGAUAUGUCGUUCGUGGUGGACUGCGACGCCUCUGGCAUCGGCUUCGACGCCGUCCUCCACCAGGGCGAGGGACCGCUCGCCUUCUUCAGCUGCCCCUUCGGCGCCAUCACAAGCUCGCGGCCUACGAGCGCGAGCUUAUUGGGCUGGUUCAGGCGGUGCGACACUGGCGGCCUUAUCUUUGGGGCCGGUCAUUCCGUGUGCGCAUGGACCACUACAGCCUCAAGUUCUUGCUGGACCAGCGCCUCUCCACAGUUUCGCAGCACCAGUGGAUCAGCAAGCUCUUCGGCUUCGACUUCACCGACGAGUACCGCCCCGGCCGUCUCAACACGGUCGCCGACGCCUUGUCCCGCCGCAACACUGAGGAUGUCGCGGACGACGUCGCCAUGGCCAUCUUUCGCCUUCAUCGACGACAUUCGCCGGGCAACUUCGACGGCUGCGGACGGCAGGGCCUGCGCCAGCGCCUUGACGAGGGGCUGCUCCUACAUGGCCGCCGCAUCUUCGUGCCCGACCAUGAUGACCUGCGCCACCAGGUCCUGACCUUGGCGCACUCUGCAGGGCACGAGGGCGUGCAGAAGACUCUCCAUCGUCUCCGUGCUGAUUUUUACAUCCCCCGUGAUGGCGCGAUGGUCCGCGGCUGGGUGCGGUCGUGCGUGACGUGCCAACGGAACAAGACGGAGACACUAGGACCCGCGGGUCUACUGCAGCCGCUGGACGUACCCUCCCGGGUGUGGGCGGAUAUUUCCAUGGACUUCAUCGAGGGCCUUCCCAAGGUGGGCGGCAAGUCCGUCAUCCUCACGGUGGUUGACCGCUUCUCCAAGUGCGCGCACUUCAUCGCCCUGGGUCAUCCAUAUACAGCCGCCUCCGUGGCGCGGGCCUUCUUCGACGGCAUCGUCCGCCUCCACGGUUUUCCGUCGUCCAUCGUCACCGAUCGUGAUCCCGUGUUCACGGGACAUGUCUGGCGGGAUCUCUUUCGACUGGCGGGCGUGAAGCUCCGCAUGAGCACGGCGUUCCACCCUCAGACAGACGGCCAAUCCGAGGUGGUCAACAAGGUGAUUGCCAUGUACCUGCGCUGUGUUACUGGUGAUCGUCCACGAGCUUGGGUGGACUGGUUGGCGUGGGCGGAGUACUGCUACAACACUUCCUAUCACUCCGCCCUGCGCACCACGCCUUUCGAGGUGGUCUACGGGCACCCACCUCUGGCGAUGCUCCCUUACGAGCCUGGGACGGCUCGGCCCGAGACGGCGGGCGACUUACUCCGCACCCGCAACGACAUUCUGGCUGAGGCGCGCCAGCGUUUUCUCCAAGCACAGCAGCUGGCUCGGAAGUACUACGAUGCUCAUCAUCGCGAGGCGGAGUUCGCGGUGGGCGAUUGGGUGUGGCUGCGCCUCCUCCACAGGACCACGCAGUCUCUGGACCCGCGCUCCAAGCGCAAAUUGGGACCUCGCUACGCCGGUCCCUUUCGUGUGCUGGAGCGUGUCGGCACACUCGCAUACCGCUUGGAGCUGCCAGCUGGUUCUCGCCUCCACGACGUCUUCCAUGUCGGCUUACUGAAGGCCUACCGCGGGGACCCUCCUGCAGCGACGCCGGCCCUUCCUCCUACUUCAGAUGGCCGCCUCCUUCCAGCUUCCGCACAGGUGGUGAAGGUGCUGCAGGCGCAACAGCGUCUGGCAUGUCUUGGUACAGUGGACCGGCCUGCCAGAGGAGGAAGCGACUUGGGAGAAGCUCGACGAUUUCCGCCAGCAGUUUCCAGAUGUUCAGCUCGAGGACGAGCUGUUUGAGAAGGCGGGGAGAGAUGUUAUGACCGGUACAACGUACCAACGGAGGAGGCCCAAUGGGCAGGGUUAGUUACGGGCUUAGCCCAAGUUAUCUUAGCUAUGUUAGAGUCCAAGUUAUAUUAGAGUCCAAGUUAUAUUAGAGUCCAAGUUAUCUAGGGUUUAGUGGAGGCUGUCCUCCUAUAUAAACACAUGUACCCCUUCGAUAUUAAGCAGACAAUAAACAGUAUUCUGUUGUCGUCUCCCUCAGGAGACGGAAGCCCCAAACCCUAGCCGCCUCUCUCUCUCUCUUUCUCAUGCCGCGCCGGCGCCCAACCGCCGGCGCCGGCGUCCCCAACCUCGCAGCCCGCACUUCCACCCCUACAACGUCCGAGACCUGGUAGAACCCUAGCCUCUACCAUCUCCAUUAUUAUAUUUAGACCUGGUAUGUAAGGAGUAUCAAGCUGCCUGUAGAAGUUAUCAAUUUUCGAAUGUUUUCCGCUCAAAAAAUACUUUCUGGAUGUUAUAAUUUCAUGAUUUGUGUUCAUUCAUGAAUACAAGGAGAGGCCUAAAUGCAUAUUAUCAUGUUCAGAGUUGGAUCUGGCCAUCUAAAUAUACAGUUCUAGUGAUAAAAUUAUCGCAAUACAAUCUGGGCUGGAAUUGAGUUCUGUAGAAAAAAAAACCCUUUGCAGCCAUUCUGGAAGGUCCUUCAAGAAGCAUCUAGUAGAGGGAGGAGUGUUAUAGGUGAGUUUCAUAUCUUAGUACUGUCACUUUGGUUAAUAUGUUUCUGUUUGGAUGACACUUGUCUUGAUGUAGGUGUACUUGAGGCAAAUUUUAUUGAGCCGGCACAUGACAAGCAAGAUUUUGAGAGGACUCCACUGUUCAUUAGACUGGAAGCAAAACUGAAACAAAUUAUCGUUGAUUAUUGGUAAGCGCAUUUGGGGUUUGCUUCAGGUGCCUCUUUUUUGUUUUUGCACAUCAAAUGCUCAAUGUAAAGGAAAAUAACAUUGUGCCUAUGAAGUAUAUACUACACUAUGCAUACUUGCACUAGGUUCAUGUUGUUGAAGAAUUUGUGAUUGAUUUAUUCCAAGUGGUAAAAAAAAGAAGUAAAAGCCUAGCUUCCUUAGUCCUUGUAAAAAGAUCACUUCUCUCUGUAGUAGUCGGGCUGGUCGUUGCAUAGUGAUAUCUCUUAGUGUUUCUAUUGAUAGAGGUUGAGGUUGUGUCUUACCUGUUUGUUUUUGCUUCUGAACUUGUGUGUUGUUGAGUUUUUUCCUCCUAUUAAUAGAUCACAUGCAGUCCUGCUGCAUGGUUUGAAGAAUCAUUGGUAUAUUACAUGGUAAUCGGCUGAACCUGGUAAAAUGUAGCAGACCUGUUAUCUUAGAUGUUUGACAACAAUUUACUCGUGUGAGGCCACCUUAGUAAUGUUACUUAGUUUUGCAACAAUUUUAAGAACAUUAUUUGACUUGGGACAUCCAUCAUGCACCCGAUUGUUCUCAUUGCUUUCCCCAUAUUUUAAGACAAAUGGUGUAUUUGCAGGAAGGAAAAGUGUCAUCUAAUAGGUUACCAGCCAAUCGAUCCGAAACUGAGAUCACAGUAUAAGGCUGCUCUUAAAGAUUCAGGUGGUCCUGGAGCAAAGAUCCGGCAUGAAGCUUCCACCUCUCAGAAGACUGGAGGGCACCUCUCAAAUUUGCUCCCACAGACAUAUGAUGAUGUAGCAGCUCUUAGACUGACAGCUAACAGGGCAGGUAAUAGUAGUAGUUGUAUGUAGAAAUAACUAUAGUACUGUCAAAGUUAUUUUAUUUUUUAUUGGAAAAUUGAAGGGGGAGACCCCGAUAGUAAAAUUUGUUAGUAAAAGGAAAAGAAAUUUAUUAAUAAAGAAAAUUGAAGGGGGAGACCCCGAUAGUAAAAUAUUUGUACAUAAGAGAAGAGGAGUGAGGGGCAGCUAGCCCCACAAACUUUAUAGCAAGUGCUACCCACCUAAGGGGCUUUAUUUCUUUCUUCUCUUUCUAUCUCCUCACUCAGCUCUUUGCUGCAGUCACGCUUCUAUAGCCCUCCUGAAGCUCUCUUUCAGAGUAAGUAUAAUAGUUCAGGCUUCAGGGUUAUGUUUGGUCUCUUAUCUCUGAUGUCAAGUUCAGUGUAGCUAUGUUAUCCCUAGAUCCUGUCAGUUGUGUUAUAUUUAAUGUUUUCUUGUACCUGCACUUGACAUGGCAAUCCUGUUCACUAUAGAUUGCUGAUUUAGUUAACGGUCUUAAUACUCUAAUUAUCAGGUAAACAGUCCUCUAUUCCAGAGGGUCAUAAACUAGGAAUAUCUUGUUAUCUGAGAUACGUUUUCUCUUAUUUAUCAAAAUAUUAUCUCAAUGUUAUUUGUAUAGUUUAUUCAUAAACAAGUACAUGAUGCCUGCUAUUCAUAAAUAAGUUUUUUUUCCAAACAGAGUAUGAUAACUUUUCUGUGUUUUUUUUUUCUGUUGUACGACAAUCCAAAUUUGGUUGUUGAUUUUAUUGCUGUAUAGUCCAUUCAUGUUUUUAUCAUUUUUAUUUGACCAGGUUCUGCUUUGCAUUCGUCUGGCCAAGCACAAGAAGAUAGUAUGGACUCCGCAGGCUUGGAAGAGGUUUGCACCCUUAGGCUUUGAACUGAGGCAUGUUGUUCUUGUAGGUGUUUUUUUCUUUGGACAUAGGUACUUCUUUGGACAAUCGUUUCAUGGCCCCUGUCAUAUCUCUUGUGGAAGAGCAUGAUUUGUUUGUGAUUCCACAAUCUUCAGCGAUGUUGUUGGUCUUUUGUAAUAGCCAUUGUAAACAUGUUCCGUAAAAUUCCCAUUUGCUUCGUCCUUUCUUUGUUUUCACUACUGUAGUGUAAAAGCCUAAUGGAGCACACAGUCAUUUGGAUAUUUUUUCGCACUAGGCAAGCAUAUGUAUGGCCGCAUGAUGGAAAUAUACUUUUAGCUAAUUAGGUUGUGCUAUCACGCUUUGUAAUUGAUAAUAACACCCCUCCAAGUUGAUUUGAAAUGCACUCAUAUGAUCUUUUUUCUAUCUUGUGUGGCAUUCAGGAUCUGGUAGAUAUUGGCUCUCAAGGUGUACUUGAUCCCAAUUUGAAUGAGAAGUUGAGUGAAGAAAAUUUGGUUCUGUUCACAAGGUAAAUUUAAAUAAUGAUGGGUGAUUUUACACAUAUGGGGUUAAUUGCAGCAAAAUCCUGUCCUAUGUAUACAAGCAUCAAAAAACCGAGCUCCAGCACGCGUAGAUAGGCGCUGCUUCAUCUUGACGCAAACUCAAGCCGUGGUCGAGAAACCUCAACUCUGUCAAAGCUUGCACUCGGCCUGCGGCCUGAUAAAACUCGGUAACAUGGCACCAUACAUAUGAAGGGUUUAAGAUAUUAGCAUUCACAAUUUCACUGACCGCACUUCAAAUCAAUGAGUGAGACUGAGAGGCACAUCACCAGCUUCAGCAGCGUCUCACUGAACUGAUCGACCAACCUAUUAUCAAUAUGCAGUGAAGAAACUCAAGCUAUCAUCAUGCUCUUGGACAGACCAAAGAAAUGAGAAUCCAAGAAUGCCCCAGGACUUGAAGAACUAUUAUUGCUGUGGCCUGUUCUGCCUAGAGAGCCCACUGGCCCACAGCUGCCAAUAGAGCUGGCUUUGACGUUCUAUACUUCUGCUGUUGCACCUUAUAGGGCCCAUCAGUCAGGCAAGAAAGUGGAAGCAAUUUGAGGGUGAGAGAAGGAAAAUGACUUAGAAAUGGUUAGGGUGAGGGAUGGUGGUCGGCGUGGCGAUAGACAGGCAGUAUGAGAGGUGGCUUGGGUUUCAGCUUUAUGGUUGGCCAUACACAGUUUAGUAUGGAUUGGGACAUGACGUGAUGGGGGUGUAGACUCGUUCCUGAGGUUAGAUCAUCAGGGCUUGGGGCGAAACGUAUUUUGAAUAUGGAUUGCGGGCUGAUGGAAAGGCAGUGUUGAAAGAUAAAAGGUGGAAACUUACGAGCCUUUGCAAUCUAAUCGAAGCCGGCUCGCUAAUGCAGACAUCAAGCCACGAUCAUAUAGCUUGUCGACUCUGAGCUUGCGUUCCUGUAUAUUUUGUGCGACUUAGUCAGCCUGUUGUGGUAGUCUGGCAGCAUUUUAAGUUCUCUCGGGGAGGAAACAUACUGUUCUUGGAACAUUCAGUGGCCGCAGCUACUAAACCACACUGGCCAUGUAUAUGUGCUCACGUCCAACACUUGCCUUGUUCUUACAACGUGGCUUAACAUUUAAUUUAAUUAAUAGGACUUGUUAGCAGUGUGUUAUUGCGUGAAAUCCACAUUACCAAUUUGUUCUUGGCAAGCUGAACUUAAAACAUCCUUUACAGGCGUGAAGGUCUUCGGCAACGAGAUACACAGUUGAAGCAGACGGUAUGCAAUAACAUUUGAAGUGAUAAGUUAGGGAAAGAGAUCGUAUGGUGCCACCUGAUGAGAUCUGAUGAUUCUUUGUAGAUUGGCGAGCUGGAGCAUGAACUAGAGGAAACAAAAAGGAGGUGCUCUGAGCUCGCAGCUGAGCUGCAGUUACGGAGGAGCCAGCAACAACGUUACAUGUGAAGGUUAUUUUUUCUACUUCUGACAGGUAUUAUAUUUUAUCGACGCACUGGACAAUUCAAAUAUGCCUGUGUAGUUAUUUAACCACACAAUUAUCUGCACACUAAAUGGCAACCUGCGUUUGGAAGCUUAAACUUCUAUUACUUGCAUAGCCAUCCUUGAUCUCAUCUUGGUUAGCUCAAGCCCUUAGUCAUCGCUGGUAUCCUAGUAAAUUGCACUGUAGAUCUAAAAAAGUCUGCUAAUGCCUGAGGACAGGUUAAUUGCUUCAUGAUUAUUGUGAUUUAUUUGGACAGAUCUGAACUCUUUCGUGCGUUGUUUGAAUUUUUCUGGUGCAUACAACUAUGCUAAAGUAUUUAUUCUAUUAGGACUCCACUUGUCUUGGGAGUAAAGAGUUUGUAUGUUAGGGAUCUGGGUCCAGCUGUCAUCCGUACUUCCGUGUUGUGGGUCCGUCGACGCACUCUCGUGUGUGUCUCCUAUGCCUUGACCGGACGCUGUUUUGCUCGAUGGCUUGACCUAGCGUCACCUUCUCAACCAAAAAAGAAAAAAAGAGAAAAGAAAAAAGACACAUUGUCUUAGUUGUCUGUCUUUGUUUCCACCCCUUGUCUUCCAGUGACUUUCAAUGGUGCUAACUACUUCGACUUCGUCGCCCACAUGCAUGGUCUUCUACCAUUUAUUUGGAUAGUUAUGUUGUUUUGGCUUGGAUGCACGUAUUUUUCAUAGAGGCCUUGACAUCAGUUUGCAUUUACAGGACCUAAACUAUGGGAAUCAAACUCCUGGAAAUAUUUGGUUUCUUCGAAGCACAAAUACUGAACAGAGAUAUGGAUGCUAUGUAUGUUCCCGGAACUAACUUUUGCAUCUUGAAUUCUAUUAGUCUGGUAGGGUAAAAAAGAUUGAAGUUUUAGUACAUAUGUUGCAUCUUUCUUGGGCUGAAUGUGUGGAUUCCUUGCAGGGUUGCUCCUGCACAUACAAAUGAUCAGCGCAACUGGUAUAGUUGCCCUCUUCAAGGAAAUCUUCAGUGUGAAGUUGUUUUCUUUUCUGUUCUUGUGUGAUACUGGCCGCCACCGUUAGCUAUGGUGCGGUGUGGUGGCAGCAUGUACAGUUGACUGUAAUAUAUAUACUGUGUGCUACUGUUUCACAUCAUUUUACAUACCCUGUAGAGUAGAACACUAUUGGGUGAUAACCACCAGUGGUACAUUGUGUGUGUGUGUGUGUGUGUGUGUGUCCUAGUUUAAAAAACCGGACCGGACCGAAAGAAACCGGAACCGGCAGCCUCAUCGGGGUUUUAAGCUAAUAAGACCGUUCUGCAAUCGAACCGGAGAAAACCGGUCGAACCGGCCGCUUUUCUGGAAAACCAGUAAAAAACUGGGUUACUAAACCAGGAAAAACUAGGAUUUUUUUUAAUAGAAUUUGGAAGAAGUGGGAUUCGAUCGCAAGUCGUGUGAGCAAUGCGCGAGGCCUACCCACGACCCUAUAACCCAGGCUACUUUGUUGUCCAUUACAUGAAAAUAAUUUUAUUUGACCAUUGUUUCACAUUAUAUUAGGACAUAUAUUACUCAAAAUUUAUUUAUUUUUUGCUUAAAAAACCGAUAAUCGAACCGGUGAACCGACGGUCCGACCGGUAAAAACCUGAACUGACAGCCCGUGCAUGGUUAAUACAUAUUGCUGGUUGUGUUUGUUUUAUCCAUUCUCAAGAUAAAUUUCCUACUGCAUAUCUCAAUUUGGUUGUCGAAAAAUGUAAGUAGAACGAUAUGAGAUGCAGUAUGGGCCGAAAUCUCAAUUCAAAGCUAUAUCAUGUGUAAGCGACAAGUGGCACAACACCAGAGGAGUUGGGAUGUGACCUUUGCAAAGAGUAAUCCUUAACUAAUGAUUUUGAACAAUCAUGAGCAUGUGUGCCACCUGCUGGCUGGUGCACGUAAACGGAAGACAACCCCCUUCUCCUGUGAACGAGUCCCGGCAAGGACUCGGUUGAUGCCGCCUCCUCCAUGUAAGUCAAGUCAAAAAAUAUGUCUUCUUGAUCCAUUCCUGUCUGUUAUUGUAGGGUGAUGCAAAUAGAUGAGUGAUGGUAUCAUUUCCUGUUGUACUCCUUUUGUACUUCUGGUCAUGUGUUCUUGAUCUGUCUAAUUAGGCAACUAGGGGGCACAUCCCAUCUGUGUUCUAAUGAUGUGUUCUUGAGCUGCAUUUUUAUAAUUAGGUAGGUAGUUAGGCCUAGGCAGCACACAUGGUCUGUAUAUACUUGCAUACCUAAUCAAAC